UGUCAUCACUGUAGGUCUGGGGUC
rnacentral:miRNA from 1 species